GCAUAUCAAUAAGCGGAGGAAAAGAAACCAACCGGGAUUGCCUUAGUAACGGCGAAGUGAAGCGGCAAAAGCUCCAAAUUUGAAAUCUGGUACCUUCGGUGCCCGAGUUGUAAUUUGUAGAAGGUAACUUUGGGGCUGGUCCUUGUCUAUGUUCCUUGGAACAGGACGUCAUAGAGGGUGAGAAUCCCGUGUGGCGAGGAUCCCAGUUCUUUGUAAAGUGCUUUCGAAGAGUCGAGUUGUUUGGGAAUGCAGCUCUAAGUGGGUGGUAAAUUCCAUCUAAAGCUAAAUAUUGGCGAGAGACCGAUAGCGAACAAGUACAGUGAUGGAAAGAUGAAAAGAACUUUGAAAAGAGAGUGAAAAAGUACGUGAAAUUGUUGAAAGGGAAGGGCAUUUGAUCAGACAUGGUGUUUUGCGCCCUCUGCUCCUUGUGGGUGGGGGAAUCUCGCAGCUCACUGGGCCAGCAUCAGUUUUGGCGGCAGGAUAAAUCUGCAGGAAUGUAGCUUGCCUCGGUAAGUGUUAUAUCCUGUAGAAAUACUGCCAGCUGGGACUGAGGACUGCGACUUUACGUCAAGGAUGCUGGCAUAAUGGUUAUAUGCCGCCCGUCUUGAAACACGGACCAAGGAGUCUAACGUCUAUGCGAGUGUUUGGGUGUAAAACCCGUACGCGUAAUGAAAGUGAACGUAGGUUGGGGCCUCGCAAGAGGUGCACAAUCGACCGAUCCUGAUGUCUUCGGAUGGAUUUGAGUAAGAGCAUAGCUGUUGGGACCCGAAAGAUGGUGAACUAUGCCUGAAUAGGGUGAAGCCAGAGGAAACUCUGGUGGAGGCUCGUAGCGGUUCUGACGUGCAAAUCGAUCGUCGAAAUUUGGGUAUAGGGGGCGAAAGACUAAUCGAACCAUCUAGUAGCUGGUUCCUGCCGAA
rnacentral:rRNA from 1 species